rnacentral:rRNA from 1 species
UUAAGCGACUAAGCGUACACGGUGGAUGCCCUGGCAGUCAGAGGCGAUGAAGGACGUGCUAAUCUGCGAAAAGCGUCGGUAAGGUGAUAUGAACCGUUAUAACCGGCGAUGUCCGAAUGGGGAAACCCAGUGCAAUUCGUUGCACUAUCGUUAACUGAAUACAUAGGUUAACGAGGCGAACCGGGGGAACUGAAACAUCUAAGUACCCCGAGGAAAAGAAAUCAACCGAGAUUCCCCCAGUAGCGGCGAGCGAACGGGGAGCAGCCCAGAGUCUGAAUCAGCUUGUGUGUUAGUGGAACGGUCUGGAAAGUCCGACGGUACAGGGUGAUAGUCCCGUACACCAAAAUGCACAGGUUGUGAACUCGAAGAGUAGGGCGGGACACGUGGUAUCCUGUCUGAAUAUGGGGGGACCAUCCUCCAAGGCUAAAUACUCCUGACUGACCGAUAGUGAACCAGUACCGUGAGGGAAAGGCGAAAAGAACCCCGGCGAGGGGAGUGAAAAAGAACCUGAAACCGUGUACGUACAAGCAGUGGGAGCACCUUCGGGUGUGACUGCGUACCUUUUGUAUAAUGGGUCAGCGACUUAUAUUCUGUAGCAAGGUUAACCGUAUAGGGGAGCCGCAGGGAAACCGAGUCUUAACUGGGCGUUAAGUUGCAGGGUAUAGACCCGAAACCCGGUGAUCUAGCCAUGGGCAGGUUGAAGGUUGGGUAACACUAACUGGAGGACCGAACCGACUAAUGUUGAAAAAUUAGCGGAUGACUUGUGGCUGGGGGUGAAAGGCCAAUCAAACCGGGAGAUAGCUGGUUCUCCCCGAAAGCUAUUUAGGUAGCGCCUCGUGAACUCAUCUUCGGGGGUAGAGCACUGUUUCGGCUAGGGGGUCAUCCCGACUUACCAACCCGAUGCAAACUACGAAUACCGAAGAAUGUUAUCACGGGAGACACACGGCGGGUGCUAACGUCCGUCGUGAAGAGGGAAACAACCCAGACCGCCAGCUAAGGUCCCAAAGUCAUGGUUAAGUGGGAAACGAUGUGGGAAGGCACAGACAGCCAGGAUGUUGGCUUAGAAGCAGCCAUCAUUUAAAGAAAGCGUAAUAGCUCACUGGUCGAGUCGGCCUGCGCGGAAGAUGUAACGGGGCUAAACCAUGCACCGAAGCUGCGGCAGCGACACUAUGUGUUGUUGGGUAGGGGAGCGUUCUGUAAGCCUGCGAAGGUGUGCUGUGAGGCAUGCUGGAGGUAUCAGAAGUGCGAAUGCUGACAUAAGUAACGAUAAAGCGGGUGAAAAGCCCGCUCGCCGGAAGACCAAGGGUUCCUGUCCAACGUUAAUCGGGGCAGGGUGAGUCGACCCCUAAGGCGAGGCCGAAAGGCGUAGUCGAUGGGAAACAGGUUAAUAUUCCUGUACUUGGUGUUACUGCGAAGGGGGGACGGAGAAGGCUAUGUUAGCCGGGCGACGGUUGUCCCGGUUUAAGCAUGUAGGCUGAUUGUCCAGGCAAAUCCGGAUAAUCAAGGCUGAGGUGUGAUGACGAGGCACUACGGUGCUGAAGUAACAAAUGCCCUGCUUCCAGGAAAAGCCUCUAAGCAUCAGGUAACAUCAAAUCGUACCCCAAACCGACACAGGUGGUCAGGUAGAGAAUACCAAGGCGCUUGAGAGAACUCGGGUGAAGGAACUAGGCAAAAUGGUGCCGUAACUUCGGGAGAAGGCACGCUGGUGUGUAGGUGAAGUCCCUGCGGAUGGAGCUGAGACCAGUCGAAGAUACCAGCUGGCUGCAACUGUUUAUUAAAAACACAGCACUGUGCAAACACGAAAGUGGACGUAUACGGUGUGACGCCUGCCCGGUGCCGGAAGGUUAAUUGAUGGGGUUAUCCGUAAGGAGAAGCUCUUGAUCGAAGCCCCGGUAAACGGCGGCCGUAACUAUAACGGUCCUAAGGUAGCGAAAUUCCUUGUCGGGUAAGUUCCGACCUGCACGAAUGGCGUAAUGAUGGCCAGGCUGUCUCCACCCGAGACUCAGUGAAAUUGAACUCGCUGUGAAGAUGCAGUGUACCCGCGGCAAGACGGAAAGACCCCGUGAACCUUUACUAUAGCUUGACACUGAACAUUGAGCCUUGAUGUGUAGGAUAGGUGGGAGGCUUUGAAGCGUGGACGCCAGUCUGCGUGGAGCCAACCUUGAAAUACCACCCUUUAAUGUUUGAUGUUCUAACGUUGGCCCCUGACCGGGGUUGCGGACAGUGUCUGGUGGGUAGUUUGACUGGGGCGGUCUCCUCCCAAAGCGUAACGGAGGAGCACGAAGGUUAGCUAAUCCUGGUCGGACAUCAGGAGGUUAGUGCAAUGGCAUAAGCUAGCUUGACUGCGAGCGUGACGGCGCGAGCAGGUGCGAAAGCAGGUCAUAGUGAUCCGGUGGUUCUGAAUGGAAGGGCCAUCGCUCAACGGAUAAAAGGUACUCCGGGGAUAACAGGCUGAUACCGCCCAAGAGUUCAUAUCGACGGCGGUGUUUGGCACCUCGAUGUCGGCUCAUCACAUCCUGGGGCUGAAGUAGGUCCCAAGGGUAUGGCUGUUCGCCAUUUAAAGUGGUACGCGAGCUGGGUUUAGAACGUCGUGAGACAGUUCGGUCCCUAUCUGCCGUGGGCGCUGGAGAAUUGAGGGGGGCUGCUCCUAGUACGAGAGGACCGGAGUGGACGCAUCACUGGUGUUCGGGUUGUCAUGCCAAUGGCACUGCCCGGUAGCUAAAUGCGGAAGAGAUAAGUGCUGAAAGCAUCUAAGCACGAAACUUGCCCCGAGAUGAGUUCUCCCUGAGACUAUAAGUCUCCUGAAGGAACGUUGAAGACGACGACGUUGAUAGGCCGGGUGUGUAAGCGCAGCGAUGCGUUGAGCUAACCGGUACUAAUGAACCGUGAGGCUUAACCUU